UGGGGAAUAUUGGACAAUGGGGGCAACCCUGAUCCAGCCAUGCCGCGUGAGUGAUGAAGGCCUUAGGGUUGUAAAGCUCUUUCGUCAGGGAAGAUAAUGACGGUACCUGAAGAAGAAGCCCCGGCUAACUUCGUGCCAGCAGCCGCGGUAAUACGAAGGGGGCUAGCGUUGUUCGGAAUUACUGGGCGUAAAGCGCACGUAGGCUGAUGAUUAAGUCAGGGGUGAAAUCCCAGGGCUCAACCCUGGAACUGCCUUUGAUACUGGUCGUCUUGAGUACGAGAGAGUUGAGUGGAAUUCCGAGUGUAGAGGUGAAAUUCGUAGAUAUUCGGAAGAACACCAGUGGCGAAGGCGGCUCACUGGCUCGUAACUGACGCUGAGGUGCGAAAGCGUGGGGAGCAAACA
rnacentral:rRNA from 1 species